CCUACGGGUGGCAGCAGUGGGGAAUAUUGCACAAUGGGGGAAACCCUGAUGCAGCGACGCCGCGUGAAGGAAGAAGUAUCUCGGUAUGUAAACUUCUAUCAGCAGGGAAGAAAGUGACGGUACCUGACUAAGAAGCCCCGGCUAAUUACGUGCCAGCAGCCGCGGUAAUACGUAAGGGGCAAGCGUUAUCCGGAUUUACUGGGUGUAAAGGGAGCGUAGACGGCAGAGCAAGUCUGAUGUGAAAGGCAGGGGCUCAACCCCUGGACUGCAUUGGAAACUGUUCGGCUUGAGUGCCGGAGAGGUAAGCGGAAUUCCUAGUGUAGCGGUGAAAUGCGUAGAUAUUAGGAGGAACACCAGUGGCGAAGGCGGCUUACUGGACGGCAACUGACGUUGAGGCUCGAAAGCGUGGGGAGCAAACAGGAUUAGAUACCCUAGUAGUC
rnacentral:rRNA from 1 species